CUUUUCCCUCGACCUCGUUUUCUCACCGGGAAUAUGGGAAGAAAACGCACCCUUACCUCCCCCGAACCCUGUUCACCAUAAGAAAUAGGAUUAAGCUUUUCAAAGCCGGCAAGUUGAACUAUUCAUACUUACCAGUCUUGCUUUGUCGCCCAGCCUGGAGUGGAGAGGCGCGAUCUUGGCACACUGCAACCUCUGCCUCCCGGUUUCAAGCAAUCCUCCUGUCUCAGCCUCCUGAGUAGCUGAGAUUACAGACAUACGCCACCACGCCCAGCUAAUUGUUUUAUAUUUUUAGUACAGAUUUUUAGUACAGGCUACUUUUUGUAUUUUUAGUAGAGAUGGGGGUUUCACCAUGUUGGCCAGGCUAGUCUUGAACUCCUGACCUCGAGUGAUGUGCCAGUCUUGGCCUCCCAAAAUGCUGAGAUUACAGGCAUGAGCCACUGCACCUAGCCACAUCCCAUAAAUUUCGGUAUGUUGUGUUUCCAUUUUCAUUUGUCUUAAGAUAUUUCUGAUUUCUUCUUUGACCCAUUGGUUGUUCAGGAGUGUUAAUUCCACAUACUUGCAAACUUUCCAAGUUUUCUCCUGUUAAUUAUUUCCAGUUUCAUACCAGUGUGUGAAACCUUUCCUUGAUGUGGUAAUAGAUAUAAAUACACACAUAUGUAUAGGUUUCCAUCUACGAUUCCUGGCUCAUAACUCCCAGAGUCCUUGUUACAGUCUUUUGUUACAAUGUUGGUAUGUUAGGCCUCUCUGACUUUCUCCAGUGUUCCUUUCACCUGCCCCAAGGCAGGUCUGUAAUCUGAUUGUGGGUCAUAAGACCACCAUUCCAGAGAGGGUCCCAUCCCAUACCCUGGGGGAAGGAAUGCUAACGUCAUGAAGCUUCUAUAAAAAGCCAGGAUGACUGGAUUUAGAGAGCUUCUGGAUAGCUGAACACAUGCAAGUUCCUGGAGGGCAGCUCGCCCAGGGAGGGCAUGGGAGUUCUGUGCCCCUUCCCCCAUACCUCACCCUGAGCAUCUCUUCAUCUGUAUCCUUUGUAAUAAAAUAAAUUGGUAAACAUGU
rnacentral:antisense_RNA from 1 species